CACGUAGGGGGCAAGCGUUGUCCGGAAUCAUUGGGCGUAAAGCGCGCGUAGGCGGCUAGAUCAGUCUGCUGUAAAAGUCAAAGGCUCAACCUUUGAAAGCCGGUGGAUACUGUCUAGCUAGAGUCCGGAAGAGGCGAGUGGAAUUCCUGGUGUAGCGGUGGAAUGCGCAGAUAUCAGGAGGAACACCGAUGGCGAAGGCAGGUCUCUGGGCCACUACUGACGCUGAGAAGCGAAAGCAUGGGGAGCGAACAGG
rnacentral:rRNA from 1 species